AGUGGCUUACCAAGGCUUUGACGGGUAGCCGGCCUGAGAGGGUGACCGGCCACAUUGGGACUGAGAUACGGCCCAGACUCCUACGGGAGGCAGCAGUGGGGAAUAUUGCACAAUGGGCGGAAGCCUGAUGCAGCAACGCCGCGUGCGGGAUGACGGCCUUCGGGUUGUAAACCGCUUUCGCCUGUGACGAAGCGUGAGUGACGGUAAUGGGUAAAGAAGCACCGGCUAACUACGUGCCAGCAGCCGCGGUGAUACGUAGGGUGCGAGCGUUGUCCGGAUUUAUUGGGCGUAAAGGGCUCGUAGGUGGUUGAUCGCGUCGGAAGUGUAAUCUUGGGGCUUAACCCUGAGCGUGCUUCCGAUACGGGUUGACUUGAGGAAGGUAGGGGAGAAUGGAAUUCCUGGUGGAGCGGUGGAAUGCGCAGAUAUCAGGAGGAACACCAGUGGCGAAGGCGGUUCUCUGGGCCUUUCCUGACGCUGAGGAGCGAAAGCGUGGGGAGCGAACAGGCUUAAAUACCCUGGU
rnacentral:rRNA from 1 species